rnacentral:rRNA from 1 species
GAUGAACGCUGGCGGCGUGCCUAAUACAUGCAAGCCGAGCGAACAGACGAGGAGCUUGCUCCUUUGACGUUAGCGGCGGACGGGUGAGUAACACGUAGGUAACCUACCUAUAAGACUGGGAUAACUUCGGGAAACCGGAGCUAAUACCGGAUAAUAUUUGGAACCGCAUGGUUCGAUAGUGAAAGAUGGCUUUGCUAUCACUUAUAGAUGGACCUGCGCCGUAUUAGCUAGUUGGUAAGGUAACGGCUUACCAAGGCAACGAUACGUAGCCGACCUGAGAGGGUGAUCGGCCACACUGGAACUGAGACACGGUCCAGACUCCUACGGGAGGCAGCAGUAGGGAAUCUUCCGCAAUGGGCGAAAGCCUGACGGAGCAACGCCGCGUGAGUGAUGAAGGUCUUCGGAUCGUAAAACUCUGUUAUUAGGGAAGAACAAACGUGUAAGUAACUGUGCACGUCUUGACGGUACCUAAUCAGAAAGCCACGGCUAACUACGUG